CUGCUUAAAGCACAAAGCCUGCUGUGUUUGACUACACAGCCACUGGAGUUGGUAGCAUUAAAUUCACAGUGCUGUGCUUUGAGUUACCUUGCAGAAUGAAAGACUACAUAUAUAAAACAAACUCUAUUCAUUUUUGACUCACCCUUCACUUUUCCACAGGAGAUAGUAUUAAUAUUAAAUUCCACUUCUCCCCAGGAACAGUAUCAUUUCCAUUCUGUUGUCAAAUAUCCUAGCAACACAGGAGUAGGGGGAAAGAGAAGGGGAGCAGGGGGAGAUAGAAAGUGUGACAGAGAGCUCUAGAAACUGAUGCAAGUGUUUUGCACAACCAUGGCCAUUGCCCUGCUUUUUUGGAUGACCACAUCUUUGCUGUUUUGCAAUGCAACUGACUGCUCUGACUCUCCCAGUGAAAUUCCUGCCCAGCCUUCAAAAACUAUUCAUGGGGCUGUUGAAAGCUAGUCUGCUGAUGAGUAGCAUCGUGCAUCCUAACAUCAGGCAGUGGUUUUGGGAAGCAGAACAUGCCCAUGCUAUGAGAACCAGACAGCAAACAGAUAUCUUCAUGAAGGCAGAAAGAAUCCAUCUAAAUCCUAUGAAAAUUCUUUGUAAUUCAAGCAAAACAGCUUCAGCUGUGCUGCUAAAUAGAGGGGAGAAGUUUCAGAUAAGUCUUAAUGCAAUGGAAUUUCAAUGUCUAACUGGCUUUCAUCGGUUGUUGUAGGCUGCAAAGUCUGCUGAAGAUCUGGAAAAUCUAAAAAACACAUUUUUAGGUCACAGGCAGCAGCACCACCAGGUCUCAUGACAAUGACCUAUCUGUUUCUUUUUCUCCUUUUUGGAACCCUGGCUCUCUCCGGCUCAGAAGGUGCUGGCAACUCCACAGCCAAGCAUCGCUAUGCUCGGUUCUUGUUUGAUGUUUUUGACAGACCUAAGCCUGAAUAUAACAUAAUUCCUAACCCACCUCAACAAGACUCAUCUGCAAAACAGAUCUGUCGAAGUCGGUGCCAGAAGGGCUGGAUUAGUUACAAAGGCCACUGUUAUAUGUUUGUUCAAGAGAGAAUGACAUGGAUGGAAGCUGAGAAAAUGUGUUCGGCUAAAAGUGCAGGAGGUCACCUAACCAGCAUUACCAGUGCAGAACAGAAUGAAUUCCUUCAUAAACUUUCUCAGGGACAAAAGGUUGCCCAGUUCUGGACAGGAGGAACUUACCAAAAGGGUUCGUUGUUGAAAUGGAGUGAUGGAUCUCUGAUAACCUUUGUCCAGAGGCCUCUGACAUCCAUUUUCCAUGCUGUUGGAGGACUAAUUAACAGCCUGUUUAACAUAAAACUUUGCCUGAUGGUCAAUAUUGGAGCAGGGGACUGCAGAUUCAAUAUCCGCAGAAACAGUCAUGGAAAGGCUGAGAAAAUAUACAUCUGUCUUACAAGGUCACCACACAGUGUGGCCCAUGGUGUUCAGACAGUAAGGCAGUACAGGCCACAAGCCUGUUGUGCCAUGGGAGGACAGGUCAGAAAGGUGGACUACGCUGCAGAUAUGCAGCUGUAG
rnacentral:lncRNA from 1 species